ACGCUCGACACCUACGGGAGGCAGCAGUGGGGAAUAUUGCACAAUGGGGGAAACCCUGAUGCAGCAACGCCGCGUGAAGGAAGACGGUUUUUCGGAUUGUAAACUUCUGUUCUUAGUGAAGAUAGUGACGGUAGCUAAGGAGCAAGCCACGGCUAACUACGUGCCAGUAGCCGCGGUAAUCUGAGCGGGCGUGGCAAGGC
rnacentral:rRNA from 1 species